rnacentral:rRNA from 1 species
GGUUAAGCGACUAAGCGUACACGGUGGAUGCCCUGGCAGUCAGAGGCGAUGAAGGACGUGCUAAUCUGCGAAAAGCGCCGGCGAGGUGAUAUGAACCCUUGACCCGGCGAUGUCCGAAUGGGGAAACCCAGUGCAAUCCGUUGCACUAUCGUUAACUGAAUACAUAGGUUAACGAGGCGAACCGGGGGAACUGAAACAUCUAAGUACCCCGAGGAAAAGAAAUCAACCGAGAUUCCCCCAGUAGCGGCGAGCGAACGGGGAGCAGCCCGGAGUCUGAAUCAGCUUGUGUGUUAGUGGAACGGUCUGGAAAGUCCGACGGUACAGGGUGAUAGUCCCGUACACGAAAGCACACUUGCUGUGAACUCGAAGAGUAGGGCGGGACACGUGGUAUCCUGUCUGAAUAUGGGGGGACCAUCCUCCAAGGCUAAAUACUCCUGACUGACCGAUAGUGAACCAGUACCGUGAGGGAAAGGCGAAAAGAACCCCGGCGAGGGGAGUGAAAAAGAACCUGAAACCGUGUACGUACAAGCAGUGGGAGCCUCUUUAUGGGGUGACUGCGUACCUUUUGUAUAAUGGGUCAGCGACUUAUAUUCUGUAGCAAGGUUAACCGUAUAGGGGAGCCGAAGGGAAACCGAGUCUUAACUGGGCGUUAAGUUGCAGGGUAUAGACCCGAAACCCGGUGAUCUAGCCAUGGGCAGGUUGAAGGUUGGGUAACACUAACUGGAGGACCGAACCGACUAAUGUUGAAAAAUUAGCGGAUGACCUGUGGCUGGGGGUGAAAGGCCAAUCAAACCGGGAGAUAGCUGGUUCUCCCCGAAAGCUAUUUAGGUAGCGCCUCGUGAACUCAUCUUCGGGGGUAGAGCACUGUUUCGGCUAGGGGGCCAUCCCGGCUUACCAACCCGAUGCAAACUACGAAUACCGAAGAAUGUUAUCACGGGAGACACACGGCGGGUGCUAACGUCCGUCGUGAAGAGGGAAACAACCCAGACCGCCAGCUAAGGUCCCAAAGUCAUGGUUAAGUGGGAAACGAUGUGGGAAGGCACAGACAGCCAGGAUGUUGGCUUAGAAGCAGCCAUCAUUUAAAGAAAGCGUAAUAGCUCACUGGUCGAGUCGGCCUGCGCGGAAGAUGUAACGGGGCUAAACCAUGCACCGAAGCUGCGGCAGCGACGCUUAUGCGUUGUUGGGUAGGGGAGCGUUCUGUAAGCCGUUGAAGGUGUGCUGUGAGGCAUGCUGGAGGUAUCAGAAGUGCGAAUGCUGACAUAAGUAACGAUAAAGCGGGUGAAAAGCCCGCUCGCCGGAAGACCAAGGGUUCCUGUCCAACGUUAAUCGGGGCAGGGUGAGUCGACCCCUAAGGCGAGGCCGAAAGGCGUAGUCGAUGGGAAACAGGUUAAUAUUCCUGUACUUGGUGUUACUGCGAAGGGGGGACGGAGAAGGCUAUGUCAGCCGGGCGACGGUUGUCCCGGUUUAAGCAUGUAGGCGGAGGUUCCAGGUAAAUCCGGUACCUUAUUAACGCUGAGGUGUGAUGACGAGGCACUACGGUGCUGAAGUGAUAAAUGCCCUGCUUCCAGGAAAAGCCUCUAAGCAUCAGGUAACACGAAAUCGUACCCCAAACCGACACAGGUGGUCAGGUAGAGAAUACCAAGGCGCUUGAGAGAACUCGGGUGAAGGAACUAGGCAAAAUGGUGCCGUAACUUCGGGAGAAGGCACGCUGAUGUGUAGGUGAAGUCCCUGCGGACGGAGCUGAAAUCAGUCGAAGAUACCAGCUGGCUGCAACUGUUUAUUAAAAACACAGCACUGUGCAAACACGAAAGUGGACGUAUACGGUGUGACGCCUGCCCGGUGCCGGAAGGUUAAUUGAUGGGGUUAGCGGCAACGCGAAGCUCUUGAUCGAAGCCCCGGUAAACGGCGGCCGUAACUAUAACGGUCCUAAGGUAGCGAAAUUCCUUGUCGGGUAAGUUCCGACCUGCACGAAUGGCGUAAUGAUGGCCAGGCUGUCUCCACCCGAGACUCAGUGAAAUUGAACUCGCUGUGAAGAUGCAGUGUACCCGCGGCAAGACGGAAAGACCCCGUGAACCUUUACUAUAGCUUGACACUGAACACUGGUCCUUGAUGUGUAGGAUAGGUGGGAGGCUUUGAAGCGUGGACGCCAGUCUGCGUGGAGCCAACCUUGAAAUACCACCCUUUAAUGGCUGGUGUUCUAACGUAGACCCGUAAUCCGGGUUGCGGACAGUGUCUGGUGGGUAGUUUGACUGGGGCGGUCUCCUCCCAAAGAGUAACGGAGGAGCACGAAGGUUGGCUAAUCCUGGUCGGACAUCAGGAGGUUAGUGCAAUGGCAUAAGCCAGCUUGACUGCGAGCGUGACGGCGCGAGCAGGUGCGAAAGCAGGUCAUAGUGAUCCGGUGGUUCUGAAUGGAAGGGCCAUCGCUCAACGGAUAAAAGGUACUCCGGGGAUAACAGGCUGAUACCGCCCAAGAGUUCAUAUCGACGGCGGUGUUUGGCACCUCGAUGUCGGCUCAUCACAUCCUGGGGCUGAAGUAGGUCCCAAGGGUAUGGCUGUUCGCCAUUUAAAGUGGUACGCGAGCUGGGUUUAGAACGUCGUGAGACAGUUCGGUCCCUAUCUGCCGUGGGCGCUGGAGAAUUGAGGGGGGCUGCUCCUAGUACGAGAGGACCGGAGUGGACGCAUCACUGGUGUUCGGGUUGUCAUGCCAAUGGCACUGCCCGGUAGCUAAAUGCGGAAGAGAUAAGUGCUGAAAGCAUCUAAGCACGAAACUUGCCCCGAGAUGAGUUCUCCCUGAGACUUUAAGUCUCCUGAAGGAACGUUGAAGACGACGACGUUGAUAGGUCGGGUGUGUAAGCGCAGCGAUGCGUUGAGCUAACCGAUACUAAUGAACCGUGAGGCUUAACCUU